rnacentral:rRNA from 1 species
AGUUUGAUCAUGGCUCAGAUUGAACGCUGGCGGCAUGCCUUACACAUGCAAGUCGAACGGUAACGGGCCUUCGGGUGCCGACGAGUGGCGAACGGGUGAGUAAUGCAUCGGAACGUACCUUUCAGUGGGGAUAACGUAGCGAAAGUUACGCUAAUACCGCAUAUUCUGUGAGCAGGAAAGCAGGGGAUCGCAAGACCUUGCGCUGAUUGAGCGGCCGAUGUCAGAUUAGCUAGUUGGUGAGGUAAAGGCUCACCAAGGCGACGAUCUGUAGCGGGUCUGAGAGGAUGAUCCGCCACACUGGAACUGAGACACGGUCCAGACUCCUACGGGAGGCAGCAGUGGGGAAUUUUGGACAAUGGGGCAACCCUGAUCCAGCCAUGCCGCGUGAGUGAAGAAGGCCUUCGGGUUGUAAAGCUCUUUCGGCCGGGAAGAAAUCGCAUGGGUUAAUACCCUGUGCGGAUGACGGUACCGGCAUAAGAAGCACCGGCUAACUACGUG